UCGAGAAUCUUUCGCAAUGGGCGAAAGCCUGACGAAGCGACGCCGUGUGAGCGAUGAAGGCCUUCGGGUUGUAAAGCUCUUUCGCUUGGGAACAAGAGAAGGUGGCGAAUAGCCAUCUAAUUUGAGGGUACCAGGUAAAGAAGCACCGGCUAACUCCGUGCCAGCAGCUGCGGUAAUACGGAGGGUGCAAGCAUUAAUCGGAUUUAUUGGGCGUAAAGGGCGCGUAGGCGGAUUCGCAAGUUAAGUGUGAAAUUCCAAAGCUCAACUUUGGAGCUGCACUUAAAACUGCGAGUCUUGAGGAUUGGUGGAGGAAAUGGAAUUCCACGUGUAGCGGUGAAAUGCGUAGAUAUGUGGAAGAACACCGGUGGCGAAAGCGAUUUCCUAACUUAUACCUGACGCUGAGGCGCGAGAGCAAGGGGAGCAAACAGGAUUAGAUACCCCUGUAGUCC
rnacentral:rRNA from 1 species